rnacentral:rRNA from 1 species
AAUAUUGGACAAUGGUCGAAAGCCUGACCCCACCAUGCCGCGUGUGUGAAGAAGGUCUUCGGAUUGUAAAUCAUGUCAUGUUGGGAGGUAGGGCAGGAAGUUAAUACCUUGCUGUUUUGACGUUACCGACAGAUUAAGCACACGCAAACUCCGUGCCAGCAGCCGAGGUAAUACUAAGGCUGCAAGCGUUAAUCGGAAUUACUGGGCGUAAAGCGGUCGUAGGUGGUUUGUUAAGUUGGAAGUGAAAGCCCCGGGCUCAACCUGGGAACUGCUUUCAAAACUGGCAAGCUAGAGUAUGGCAGAGGGUGGUGGAAUUUCCUGUGUAGCGGUGAAAUGCGUAGAUAUAGGAAGGAACACCAGUGGCGAAGGCGACCACCUGGGCUAAUACUGACACUGAGGUGCGAAAGCGUGGGGAGCAAACA